rfam:Alligator sinensis unplaced genomic scaffold scaffold542_1, whole genome shotgun sequence
GACCAUGUGGCCUAAUGGAUAAGGUGUCUGACUUCAGAUCAGAAGACUACAGGUUCAAAUCCUGCCGUGGUUG